AGCUUUUCGAAUCUGUGCUGAGAUUUCGUCAGACAUUAACUCAUUAAAGCUGAUCAGACUUCCAAGAUAAGUGAAGUU
rfam:Schistosoma margrebowiei strain Zambia genome assembly, scaffold: SMRZ_scaffold0000493